UGUGCGCAUGCUCCGGGAGCUGAGCGCGCAGGCCCACUGCCGGGAUGGCUCCCCGAGGAGGCCGCGAACCCUGGGUUUGGCGUCGUGUGGGAGGACUCGGGGGCGGAACGUGGGGUGGGCAUCCACCAGGUCUCCACCCUAGGACCUUUUUGCUUCUCUCCUUUCAGAAACAAAGGGCAGAACUGGAAGGGACAAAAGAGGAAGUAUGGAAGCAAACAAAGAGGUGGAAGGGGAAUGAGAAGUAUGAAAGGUGAGCACCGAAGGAGAAGAAAACACAUUUAGGACUAGAAGGAUGCCACGUGACAAGGCAAGUGACUAUAUACAGGAUUUCUCUAGGCUUACAGCAUUAUGGGACAGUCAUCAUCAUCUCCCCCCAUCCCAUGGGACAUACUACCAGUCUGCCUCCUGCAAAAUUGGAACAAAUUCAGCUUGCAAGACUUAAAAAGUCUUUUGUUGCUUCACAUGAAUUUUAUUAUGCUUCCUUUCUCCAAAAAGAAUGUUGUUGGUAAUUCGAUUGGUAGCAAUAAAUAUGUAAGUAAAUUUAAAUAGUACCAUCAUUUUAAUAUUGGCAUUACCUAGCCAUGAGAACUGAAUAUCCUUCCAGUUAUUUCCUUAUUCACAAUUCUAUAUAUACCUGUGAGUGUGCUUUGGUAAAGCAACACCCAGAAAUUUAUUGCAUUUUGUAGUUGUAUUUUUAUAGGACCCCACUUCCUGAUCAUGGUGCCCUGGGUUUUUAUAUAGCUGUAUAGAAACCCUGUUGAUUGUUGUGGAUUUCUUUCAUAAUCUUUACUGAAGCUAUUAUCUCAAUUAUUGUCUUUGGUGAUUCCCUAAGAUUUUCUAAGUAAACUAUCAAGUCAUUAGAAAAUAAUUAUGUUUCCCCUUUGCCUGUUAUUAUGCUUUAAACUUUUAUUUUCUUGUUUUAUUCUUCUUGCUCUUGUUUCCAGAACUAUGAAAAACAGGAAUGUUGGAAGGGGGCAUCCUUGCCUUACUUCUGCAUUUAUUGGUUAAACUUUUAGUGUUUCAACAUUGCUGUAAUGUUAGCUUUGUUUUAGAUGACUUUUAAAGAUAAAAAUUACACGUAUGUGUAUAUAUGUGUGUAUGUACGUAUGUAUAUACGUUCCUUCUAUAUCUAUACUUUGUACAGCAGAUAAUAUAAACAAGUGCUAUAUUUUGUCAAAGUAUGUUUCUGCAUCUUGUGGUUUUAAAGUAUGUUGUUUUUUAAAUGUUGAGCCAUCUUUGCAUGCCUGGAGUAAAUCCAACUUGAUCAAAGUGAGUGUUUUGGGUAAAUUUUUGUCUUUUGGCAGGUUUUUACUUUUAAAUUUUGAAUAUGUUUUAAAUUCUAUUUAUCUUACCCUUCCCUGGUUCAGCUUUUAAGACUAUAUCUCAUAAAAGGAUACUCCUCAUCAUAUUAAGGAAAGUUCACUUAUUUCAGUGCUUUUAGGGUUUGUAAAAGAAACAGGUGUUGAUUUUUGCCAAAAAUUUUUCUGCAUCUAUUGAUACAAUUGUGAUUUUUAUUAUUUUUGUUAAUACCAUAAUAUUAUGCUUUUAUUUUCCUCACCUUGAACUAACCCCUGCAUUAUUGGUAUAAAUACAACUUGCUCAUUAGUGUACAAUCUUUUAAUUGUUAUAGUAAUAUUUUUUGCAUGGAUU